rnacentral:rRNA from 1 species
UACAGAGGUCCCGAGCGUUGUUCGGAUUCACUGGGCGUAAAGGGUGCGUAGGUGGUGAGGAAAGUCGGAUGUGAAAUCUCCGGGCUUAACCCGGAAAUGGCAUUGGAAACUACCUUGCUAGAGGUUUUGAGGGGGGACUGGAAUUCUCGGUGUAGCAGUGAAAUGCGUAGAUAUCGAGAGGAACACCGGUGGCGAAGGCGGGUCUCUGGGCCGAUAUUGACGCUGAGGAGCGAAAGCGUGGGGAGCGAACAGG